rnacentral:lncRNA from 1 species
UUAUUAUGGCUAUAAAAAGCCAUUGAGAUACUGUAUGAAAGGGGGGUGAAGGGGAUACAAAGAAAAAGAGAGAAAACAGAUACAAGAAUUUUUUAAAUACAAAGGUUUUUUUUUUUUUGUUCUACAUUAUUGGCGUUCAUCAUUCUUUUACUAUAUAUCUAUAUUUUUUUCUUUUAUUUUUAUAGUUUGCUUAAAAUAAUAAAGAGGAAUAGAACGGGAAACUUACCUUUUUUGCCGGAACCACCGAGUUGUUGCCAUCUCCGUCGUAAUUGGAGCUUUGGCACAAGGCUGAGCGGUGGCAUUCAAAGGUUGAUGAAACCCUAAAGAAGCCAUUUCAUAUGCUGCUUCAGAGAAAGGGGGAACAAAAUUGUUUCCUUAAAUUUGGCUUUUUUUUAAAACUUAAAAAGAAGCAGAACGGUGCCAUCCAGUGGGGUCCACGCAUUUCCACCCUAAGUGGGAAAUUUGCAGUUAGACCUCCUCUUUUGCGACAUGUUUGGAUUAAACCUAUCGUUCCUUUUUAAUUUGGCCCAAAUGUUUCUGCCUUUGUUCAUUUCAGCCCAUAUCGCUGCACACCGUUUUGG